rnacentral:rRNA from 1 species
CAGUAGCCGCGGGAAUACGAAGGGGGCUAGCGUUGUUCGGAAUUACUGGGCGUAAAGCGCACGUAGGCGGAUAUUUAAGUCAGGGGUGAAAUCCCGCAGCUCAACUGCGGAACUGCCUUUGAUACUGGGUAUCUUGAGUAUGGAAGAGGUUAGUGGAAUUGCGAGUGUAGAGGUGGAAUUCGUAGAUAUUCGCAGGAACACCAGUGGCGAAGGCGGCUAACUGGUCUGUAACUGACGCUGAGGAGCGAAAGCGUGGGGAGCGAACAGGAUUAGAUACCCCGGUAGUCCCUGUCUCUUAUAC